rnacentral:rRNA from 1 species
GAUUAAUAAAUUAAUUUAAUAGAUUAAUAAUAAAAGAAAUUUUUAUAUAAAUAUAUUUUAAUGGGGGUUAUAGUAUAAUUUAUAGAAAAAAUUAAAAAAUUUAUAGUUAAUUAGUAUUGUAAAAGAAUUUUGAAAUAAAAUGAAAAUAAAAUUUUUUAAAAGUAAAUUUUAUUUAUUGUAUCUUGUGUAUCAGAGUUUAUUAAUAAAAUAUAUUAAGUUAAAUAAUUCUCGAAUUUAAAAGAGAUAAUUAAUUAAUAAAGUUAUUGUUGUAAAAAUAUUUUUAAUAAUUAAUUUGAAAUGAUAUGUUAAUCGUUUUUAAAUAUAUCUAGUUUUUUUAGAAAUAAAUUUAAUUUAGAAUUUUUUAAAAAAAAAAUAAAAUAUUUUAUUUUUUUUUUUAAAAAUUUAAUAUUUUAAGGGAUAAUCUUUAAAUUAAAUAUUUAUAAUGAAAUAUUAUUUUUAUUUAAAAUUUUUAAAAUUUAUAUUGUUUAUAAAUUAUAUUUUUUUAUAAAAAAUUUUAAUGAAAAUAAAAAAUUUUUAAUUAAAAUUUAAAUUUUUAUAAAAAAAUAAUUUUUAAUAAAAAAAAAAUUAGUUAUAAUGAUAAAAUUAGUAUAAAUUUAUAUAUAUAUAUAUAUAUAAUAAUAUUAAAAGUAAUAUAAAGGAAUUCGGCAAAAAUUUAUAUUCACUUGUUUAUCAAAAACAUGUCUUUUUGAUUAUAAUUUAAAGUCAAAUCUGCCCACUGAUUAAUAAAAUUAAAGGGCUGCAGUAUACUGACUGUACAAAGGUAGCAUAAUCAUUAGUCUUUUAAUUGAAGACUUGUAUGAAAGAUUUAAUGAGAUAUAAACUGUCUCUAUAUUAAAUUUAGAAUUUAAUUUUUUAGUAAAAAAGCUAAAAUAAUUUUAAAAGACGAGAAGACCCUAUAGAGUUUUAUAUUUAAUUUAAUAAUAUUUUUUUAUAAAUAUUUAAAAUAAAAUUAAAUUAAAUAUUUUGUUGGGGUGAUAAAAAAAUAUAAUUAACUUUUUUUUUUUAGUUUAACAUUGAUUAUUGAAUAAAUGAUCCAUAAUUUAUGAUUAAAAGAAAAAAUUACCUUAGGGAUAACAGCGUAAUUUUUUUUUUUAGUUCAAAUAAGAAAAAAAGUUUGCGACCUCGAUGUUGGAUUAAGAUAAAAUUUAAAUGUAGAAGUUUAAAAUUUUUGAUCUGUUCGAUCAUUAAAAUCUUACAUGAUCUGAGUUCAAACCGGUGUAAGCCAGGUUGGUUUCUAUCUUUAAAAUAUAUAAAAUAUUUUAGUACGAAAGGAUUAAAUAUUUAAAAUAAUUUUUAAAUUAAAGAAUUUUAUUAAUAUAAAUUUAAAUAUAAAUAAUUAUAUAUAUAUAUAUAUAUU